AUAUGCGCUUCGUCUAUACGUAUGCGGAAACUGGAACGACACAGAGAAGAUUAGCAUGGCCCCUCCGCAAGAAUGACACGUAGAAGUUGUCAAAGAAACCUCUGGUUCUU